rnacentral:rRNA from 1 species
UACGUAGGCAGCAAGCGUUGUUCGGAAUUACUGGGCGUAAAGAGUGUGUAGGCGGUGCUCUAAGUUUGGUGUGAAAUCUCCCGGCUCAACCGGGAGGCUGCAUCGAAUACUGGAAUGCUAGAGGGUGGGAGAGGUAAGCGGAAUUCCUGGUGUAGCGGUGAAAUGCGUAGAUAUCAGGAGGAACACCUGUGGUGUAGACAGCUUACUGGACCACUUCUGACGCUAAGACACGAAAGCGUGGGUAGCAAACAGG